rnacentral:rRNA from 1 species
GAUGAACGCUGGCGGCGUGCCUAAUACAUGCAAGUCGAACGAGGUGCUUGAGUAGCAAUACGAGAGUAUCCUAGUGGCGAACGGGUGAGGAACGCGUUGGUGACCUACCCCACAGUGUGGGAUAACAGUUCGAAAGGACUGCUAAUACCGCAUGUGGUUAUUGGAUUUAGAAAGUGAUAACUAAAGGAGCAAUUCGCGUUGGGAGGGACCUGCGUCCCAUCAGCUAGUUGGUGAGGUAAUGGCUCACCAAGGCUACGACGGGUAGGGGACCUGAGAGGGUGACCCCCCACAAUGGAACUGAAACACGGUCCAUACACCUACGGGUGGCAGCAGUAGGGAAUAUUGCACAAUGGGCGAAAGCCUGAUGCAGCAACGCCGCGUGUGCGAUGAAGGCCUUCGGGUCGUAAAGCACUUUUCUGAGGGAUGAGCAAGGACAGUACCCCAGGAAUAAGUCUCGGCUAACUACGUGCCAGCCGCCGCGGUAAAAC